CCUACGGGAGGCAGCAGUGGGGAAUAUUGGGCAAUGGGCGCAAGCCUGCCCCAGCAACGCCGCGUGAAGGAAGAAGGCUUUCGGGUUGUAAACUUCUUUUAAGAGGGAAGAGCAGAAGACGGUACCUCUUGAAUAAGCCACGGCUAACUACGUGCCAGCAGCCGCGGUAAUACGUAGGUGGCAAGCGUUGUCCGGCUUUACGGGGUGUAAAGGGCGUGCAGCCGGGAAGACAAGUCAGAUGUGAAAUCCCGGGGCUCAACCGCGGAACUGCAUUUGAUACUGUUUUUCUUGAGUAUCGGAGAGGUCAUCGGAAUUCCUGGUGUAGCGGUGAAAUGCGUAGAUAUAAGGAAGAACACCAGUGGCGAAGGCGGAUGACUGGACGGCAACUGACGGUGAGGCGCGAAAGCGUGGGGAGCAAACAGGAUUAGAUACCCUUGUAGUC
rnacentral:rRNA from 1 species